GAGAUCAAGAGACUUUCACUUAACUGACUGAGCCACCCAGACGCCCCAGGGAGGGAAAAUUUGAUGCUCCUCCUGGGGCUGAGCGCACUGCGAACGCUACCUAAGUGCCGUCUGAACAGGGUUGUGGCUGCCUCCCGCUGCUUGCUGCUUCUGCUGCCAGUCUAGACGGUAAACACAGUAACCUUAGGCGCCUUCCACCGAGCACCAGGCAUUCUAAAUCCAGCCUCCCGAUGAGGCGGGGAGACUCUUCCCAUUUUCCAGAGGAGGAAACCAAAGCUGAGAGAGGUCCCCUCUCCUCGCUGACUGCAUGCACUGAGACCCAGCAAGACCCAGACGCCCAAGAAGUGCUUUCCUGGUAGCCCUGCCGGGCUCCCUCCGCCAGGCCACUGGGCUCCGCUCUACCUUGUCUGGGGGCCCGGUUUUGGGUAAGGCCCCCCUCCCCCCAGCUCACACCCGAACCUCCCCCCCCACCAAGCCUGGCUUCCGUCGCAGCCCCGGAGGUGGGGGGGGGAGCCGGCAGGGAGGGGAGGCAUGUCACCAUAUAUCCCCGUCAGAUUAAAAAACUAAUUUGAAAAGA